AAUGAAUGCAUUCCGAUCGCAAGAAUCCGCCCCUAUCAAUCAGCGCGGCCGCAUCUUCGCAGAAUCGAUUGCCCGCCGGCCGAGGGGACGAUGCGAAUAAUCGCAAUUUAAUGAUAGAACCACCGAGCAGUUGACUUUUUUCAAUUUGUCCGUGGAAACCGAGAGUGCUAUCGGGAUUUCGAUUAACUUACACCUCGCGUGUUACUAAAUCAAUUCAGUAUUUUUUCAGAGAAGCAUUUGUUCUCUUUAUAAUUGCGAAAGAAUUCAGGUAGUUUCAGCGUAGAUUCCGUGCCUCUGGCAAUAUUCGUUCCUAUCGGUGCAACUGCAAUCUAUGCCACCUAACCUACGGAAAUGCACUGUGCAGCAGUGCGCUAUUUCUGCAAAUCAUCUGUAAAUCCAACCGUAGAGCCAAUUUAUUUUUACGCUUACGUCUGCAGCACUGAGGAAGGAGUAGAAUUGUAGAACACUGAAUACUAGCUGUCCAAGUUUUAAAUAUUUCAAGAUGAACAACCGACUAGAACCUUCUCGUCGAAUCGAAGACUUUGCGAGGGAACCGAAAGCUGUCCAAAGCUACGAGAAGGAAAUAUAUUGGAAAAGCGCGCGGUUUGCCGACAGCGAGGCGGAGCAAUAAUUAUUUAUGUACCGUCGAUUAGCCGAGCGUCACGCGUCGCAACUCCUCGGAAGUUGUCGUUAACUUCUGGCAAGGUCUUAUUGAUUCCACGCGUUCCACGGCUACGUGGUGCAAGUCCGUCCGUCCGCCGGCGACCGGCUGAAUCACCGGCCGCGAGACGAUCAACGAUUCAGGAAAACAGACGCCCGACGACGAUGGCGAGCUUGAACUUAUCGCGCGAUCGUUAAGCGUGUGCUGGCGUCAAUGUUGUUCACCCUUGAACCGGCAAUGUGAACAGAGGACUAGAUACUAGACUACAGAUGCUCGUUUGAAUUCAGGUUUCUAAGGAUUAGACGCAGUAAUUAAAAGCUUGCUACCUGUACACAUGGUUUUGCCAGGCUGAAGAGCGAGGAGUAUCAAUGAAUUGGGAAUGCUCAAGAUUCCAGCGACCUUGAUCCGUGUCACAGACGACACCGAGGAUCCCAUACGGUGCACGAUUUAUUUCCAACUUGUUGACGACCACUCAACUUUGGAACCCGCUCGU